rnacentral:lncRNA from 1 species
UUUUUGUAAGGUUUCCUACUUUUUGGUAUGCUUGUAUACAAAAGUGUUUUGCCCCUUCCUUAUGAUAAAUUAUUUCUAGAUCAAAAGAAAUGUACAAAGUGAGGUUGAACAAAUAAGUGAAGUUUCAGGUAUGUUUCAAUUACUUAAAGCAUCAUAACAAGUUUGGAAGUUAAAAUCAGUCAAAAAAGAAUCAAACGUAAUUCCUUAAAUUGAACAAAAAUAGCAAUGAGAUCAAAUGACCAUAUAGAUCAUACCAACUAGUUUGGAUCUAAGUUGCUCAAACUCUCCAAAAAUGUUGCCACACCUGUGUCGGAUCCUUCAAAAAUACACUAUCUUUGGAGGAUCCGACACGCACCCGUCGACAUUUUUGAAGAGUCCGAGCAACAUAGGUUUGGAUAACAGCCUAAUGGUUG